UAGCUGACAUUCCGAGCAGCCUGAGAGGAGGAGGAGGAGGCCUAGGAUAGGCAUCGGGCAUCAACGUACCAACACUUCUGAAAAUAUCCACGCUGGAAGGACCAUCAGCUUCGCAUCGAGGGAACACGAUGGACAUCUCGAGCAGCCUGAGAGGAGGUGGAGGCCUAGGAGAGGCAACGGGCAUCGGCGUACUUAACACUUCUGAAAAUAUUCACGCAGGAAGGAGUAUCUUCGCAUCGAGGAAACAGUAACUGACAUCCCGAGCAGCCUGAGAGGAGGUGGAGGCCUAGGAGGAGGCAUCAGGCGCCGGCGGAGCAACAAGCGAAUCAUCGUAGCGACGUUGCAGAAUAACUCCGCUGUUGUGCAUCGGUCGGUGAGUGAUGAUUAAAAUUUCAUAAUUAAGGUAACGAAUUUAUGACAAUUAUUACGUCAAAUAUAUUGCAGAGUCAAGUUAUCACAAUAAAUUAUUACAUAUGUUACGUUUCACAGAUUCGUUGUCUUAAAAUGGAAUGACUGGGUCAGAUUAGGAUUUAACAUUUAAUCCUGGAUAAAUCACAUAAAUUGAUUUGUCGUACAUUUUGUCAUUGUAAAUUUCAUCCCAAAUAUCUUUCAGGAUUAAGUGUUAUAUAAAUUGGUGCAAGAAUGCAAUAUAUACGCUUAGAGAUGCUUUUAGCCUGCAUAUAUCACGAUUGAAGAUAAAAAGUACU